CCUACGGGAGGCAGCAGUGGGGAAUAUUGGACAAUGGGCGAAAGCCUGAUCCAGCAAUGCCGCGUGAGUGAUGAAGGCCUUCGGGUCGUAAAGCUCUUUUACCAGGGAUGAUAAUGACAGUACCUGGAGAAUAAGCUCCGGCUAACUCCGUGCCAGCAGCCGCGGUAAUACGGAGGGAGCUAGCGUUGUUCGGAAUUACUGGGCGUAAAGAGUACGUAGGCGGUUAUUCAAGUCAGAGGUGAAAGCCCGGGGCUCAACCCCGGAACUGCCUUUGAAACUAGAUAACUAGAGUCUUGGAGAGGUUAGUGGAAUUCCGAGUGUAGAGGUGAAAUUCGUAGAUAUUCGGAAGAACACCAGUGGCGAAGGCGACUAACUGGACAAGUACUGACGCUGAGGUACGAAAGCGUGGGGAGCAAACAGGAUUAGAUACCCUGGUAGUCCACGCCGUAAACGAUGAUAACUAGUUGUUCGGUCACUUGGUGACUGAGUGACGCAGCUAACGCAUUAAGUUAUCCGCCUGGGGAGUACGGUCGCAAGAUUAAAACUCAAAUGAACUGACGG
rnacentral:rRNA from 1 species